AGUGAACGCUGGCGGUAGGCCUAACACAUGCGAGUCGAACGGCAGCACAGUAAGAGCUUGCUCUUACGGUUGGCGAGUGGCGGACGGGUGAGGAAUACAUCGGAAUCUACUUUUUCGUGGGGGAUAACGUAGGGAAACUUACGCUAAUACCGCAUACGACCUACGGGUGAAAUCAGGGGAUCUUCGGACCUUGCGCGAUUGAAUGAGCCGAUGUCGGAUUAGCUAGUUGGCGAGGUAAAGGCCCACCAAGGCGACGAUCCGUAGCUGGUCUGAGAGGAUGAUCAGCCACACUGGAACUGAGACACGGUCCAGACUCCUACGGGAGGCAGCAGUGGGGAAUAUUGGACAAUGGGCGCAAGCCUGAUCCAGCCAUACCGCGUGGGUGAAGAAGGCCUUCGGGUUGUAAAGCCCUUUUGUUGGGAAAGAAAAGCAGCAGGUUAAUACCCCGCUGUUCUGACGGUACCCAAAGAAUAAGCACCGGCUAACUUCGUG
rnacentral:rRNA from 1 species